GGCUCGGGACCUCGGGUCCCCGGCCGGUGGCUGCGUGGGAAGCGGCUCAACUCGGUGCACUUGUUCACUCUUUCUUCAUUGGAGGAGGAGCCAGUGUUGCAACCUUCAUGUUCCUUGCUGGAGGCAAAACAGUGAUUUUCUGCAGCAGGCGAAAUGUCCAGGGCCUGCCAGUUUUACGAGUACUGCAGCCGAUGGUUUCAGAACCCCGGAGGAGUAUCAAGGAGGUAUUCUAAAGGGAGCCUCUCAAGUUUCAAAACCAGAAGUUACUGGAACUCUGGGCUUUCCUCCUUUGAGGCCACUUUUGCUACCAUCCCGGAAUUACUGGCGAGAGAUAUUCAUUGGCGGCCACUUGCCAGGAUGCAGGAAGACGUUAGAAAUCCCAGGAUGCUCUGGUGAUCCUUCUGGACUAGAGACCCCCAGCUUCCCUGCUGGAUGGCCUCCCUCUCACCAGCCUCGUCCGUGUGAAACUCAAAUGUUUCCCUGCUGAAUCUGAUUAGAUUAGAUUGAAGUUAAAGGUCUUUGCUCCUGCUGAUCUUACUGGUUUUGGGAGUAGUAGUUCAAUAAAUCUUUACAGUGUGUUUGAAUCCCA
rnacentral:lncRNA from 1 species